rnacentral:lncRNA from 1 species
UUUGUGUCAUAACUCGGUAUGAUUGUGUGAAUUGCAAGAUGUGCAAUAAAACUAAGUUUGGGGUGGAAAUCUUGAAAGAGAAGGCAAGUGCAUAAUAUGAGAUCAUACAAAAAGAAAAAUAGUAUGUAUUUUCUUUAAAAGAAAAAAAAAGAAAAAAAAAGAAAAAAAAAAGAAAAGAAAAAAAAAAGAGAAAAAUGCACUUGCCGAGACCUAAGACUCUAACAGAUAUAAAAUGCUCGGAAAAUUUGAGUAGAAAAAGAGUCAAA